rnacentral:misc_RNA from 1 species
UACACAUCACUUUUUGAUGGUUUUCUCUCUGUACUGAGGAACCAAGCAAAGUUAACGAGUAAAAGCCUUGUAUCAGAGAAAUCAUUGAAAGAUACCUCUUGCGGUGACCUUAGAAAUUAUUUGGCAAAUGGUGAUCAAAAGACUAAGAGAGAUGGUAAUUCUGUAUCUGAGAGAAGCAAAAAAUGCAAGGGAUCUCAUUAUGAAAUUGGAACUGAUGGUACUGGUUCUGGCUCUACACAAGGAAAGAUAAGUAAUGACAACAGUAAGAUUGAUGGAAGCACUUCGAAGAGCUGGGCCUCAUGGGCUCAAGCUCUUUGCCAUAUUGCUAUGCAUCCUGAGAAGCAUAAAAAUGUGUUGCUGGAGAUAUCAGAUGAUAUUGCUGUACUAAAUGAUCUCUACCCUAAGAAUUGGCAUUACAUUUUUACAGGCAUCUUGGCAAGAUGUGAAGGUCUUGAUUGCCUUGCUGAUGUACAGCAAGAACACCUUCAAUUGUUAACAACAAUGCAUGAUGUGGGCUUGAGAUGGGCUGAAAAAUUCUUGCAUGAGGAUUCAUCAAUGAUUUUUCGCCUUGGAUAUCACUCAGUUCCUUCCAUGCGACAGCUUCACCUGCAUGUUAUCAGCCAGGAUUUCAAUUCAAACCAUCUAAAGAAUAAGAAACACUGGAACUCCUUCAAUACUGCCUUUUUCAGAGAUUCAGUUGAUGUAAUUGAAGAAAUCAAAAACCAUGGCAAAGCAACAGUAAGAGACGACAGCUAUUUGUCAAUGGAGUUGCGUUGCCACCGAUGUAGAAGUGCACACCCUACUAUACCCAGACUGAAAUCACACAUCAACAACUGUCGAGCCCCCUUUCCUCCCUUCCUACUUGAAAAUGGUCGUUUAGUGCUUCCAGAAGAUAACAAUACGAAUGAUUCCUAGGUGUCUAUGA